CAGACAUUGCAUGAAGUAUUGUGCGGAAGACUACAUUUCAAAAGACAAGGUCGGUUCCUGACGGGGUGGAUGUAAGACCUCUCUCCUGCCUUCCCUGCUCCGACUUGGAGGUGGGGUCAAGCAGCUAUGGCUGCAGCCUGGCCUGUGUUCCUAUCAACAACUCUACAAAUGGACUAGUGAGAAACCAACGCUCUGAGUCCCAAUUACUGGUCUGCAUAAAGAAACAGCAUCACAGAGGAAACCGCUCGUAUUGCCAGAGACGGUACUUUCUGUUCCUUCCUGAGACCGGAUUUCAGGGGAUGACAACGGCUGAGCAUGACAACACAGCCCUGUCUUCAUGUGUCCUGGUCCUCGGAACUCCCCAUGACUCGCAGCGCGAAGCGGCCAAGCAGUCUCAGAAGACCAAGGGAACCGCCAUGAAGCCACGCUUCCGCCCGCACUGACGCAGGGAGGCCGGCGCAGCACGCGGUCCCGCGGCCCCGCGAGAUGACGCCACGGCGCUGCCGACACGCGUCGCCUCCAGCCCGGCCGCCGCUGUCCUCCCGCCAGGCGGCGCCGCAAGUUUAUCACUCGCCUCCUUGUGCGCAGCCGCGCCGGCGCUCCGGACACGUCACCACCUUCGCGUCCUUUCUGGAGAGCGCGGGAAGGAAGGCGCUGCGGGCGGUGACGUCACCGGGGUUCCCCCGCGAAGCUCGUGCGGGCGGGGCUGGGGACGUGGCGCCCGCGAUCUCGGAGCUGAGGGGAGGAGACAAGCUCAGUCCUGAGGCCUCCAAGGUGGGUCAGUGGCCUCUUCUUGCAGUGGACUUUAAGACAGCGCAGCCACUUCUGGGCUCCGGAGGACCAUCUCAGGACCAAGAGACAAUGAUCAGCAGCAGAGUGGCAGAGAGGUUGGAUGGCCUUGCAGGAAGAUGACACCAGCAGAGGAGAGAGGAAAACAUAGAGCUCUCCAGGUUUUUCUGGAAAAGGAGAGUAAAGGGCAAGCAGAGGACUGUUGACCAUCAACUUCAGAAAGGCUUCCCAGCUCAACUGCUCUGGGGUUUCCCAAGUCAGGGAAAAAGUGCUGGCUGUCCAGAAAUGAAACGGUCCUGCUAAGAGCAGCAGGAAGUUGGAAACCACCAAGGGCUGCAUAAAAAGGGACAUAGGGCACCCUAAGAUGUGUGUCUAAACAAAACAAAAGAUUGCUCUAAUUUUGCUUUCAAAUGUUUGUAUGAAACAACAAGCAAAUUAGUAUAUACCUCCCCUUUGAAUUUGGGAGUCUUUAAUUUGGGAGUGAUUGUACAAGGGAAAGUUGUGUAUGCAGGGGCAAGUUAUGUGAUCACAGAUAACAAAUGUAUUAUUUCAAAAACAGCUAUGGGA
rnacentral:lncRNA from 1 species